rnacentral:rRNA from 1 species
AAGCGUCGUAAGUUGAAUUUCGGGGUUAGUAGGUUGGUCAUGCCUCUGGUAUGUACUGGUCUCACUGAUUCCUCCUUCCUUAUGAACCGUAAUGCCAUUAAUUUGGUGUUGCGGGGAAUUUGGACUGUUACUUUGAAAAAAUUGAGUGUUUAAAGCAAGCUAACGCUUGAAUACAUUAGCAUGGAAUAAUGAAAUAGGACGUUCGAUCUUAUUUUGUUGGUUUCUAGGUAUUGACGUAAUGAUUAAUAGGGAUAGUUGGG